rnacentral:rRNA from 1 species
UCCUACGGGAGGCAGCAGUGAGGAAUAUUGGUCAAUGGACGGAAGUCUGAACCAGCCAUGCCGCGUGCAGGAUGACUGCCCUAUGGGUUGUAAACUGCUUUUCUGAAGGAAGAAAAGUACCUACGUGUAGGUAUUUGCCGGUACUUCAGGAAUAAGGAUCGGCUAACUCCGUGCCAGCAGCCGCGGUAAUACGGAGGAUCCGAGCGUUAUCCGGAUUUAUUGGGUUUAAAGGGUGCGUAGGCGGUAUAAUAAGUCAGUGGUGAAAGUCUGUGACUCAACCAUAGAAGUGCCAUUGAAACUGUUAUACUUGAGUAUAGAUGAGGUAUGCGGAAUGUGUAAUGUAGCGGUGAAAUGCUUAGAUAUUACACAGAACACCGAUUGCGAAGGCAGCAUACUAAGCUAUAACUGACGCUGAUGCACGAAAGCGUGGGUAGCGAACAGGAUUAGAUACCCUGGUAGUCCACGCCGUAAACGAUGAUCACUCGUUGUUGGCGACAUAAAGUCAGUGACUGAGCGAAAGCAUUAAGUGAUCCACCUGGGGAGUACGUUGGCAACGAUGAAACUCAAAUGAAUUGACGG